rnacentral:rRNA from 1 species
GAUGAACGCUAGCGGCAGGCCUAAUACAUGCCAGCCGAACGGCAAGUUUGAUAUCAAUAUUUGACCUAAGGUGGCGCAAGGGUGCGUAACACGUCUUCAACCUGCCCGCGCCAGGAGGAUAGCUCCCCUAAAGGGGAAUUAACCCUCCAUAACACCAUGAAGAGGCAUCUGAUUCUGGUUAAACCGCCACUGGUCCCGGAUGGGCAUGCGGUUGAUUAGUUAGUUGGCGGGGUAAAGGCCCACCAAGGCGGUCAUCAAUAGGGGUUCUGCGAGGAAGGUCCUCCAGACUGGCACUGAGAUACGGGCCAGACUCCUACGGGAGGCAGCAGUAGGGAAUAUUGGACAAUGGUUGCAAGACUGAUCCAGCCAUGCCGCGUGGAGGAAGAAGGCCUUCUGGGUCGUAAACUGCUUUGUCCUGUGGAUAAAAUACCCGUGCGCGGGGAAUUGAAGGUAACAGGGGAAUAAGCGACGGCUAACUACGUG